UCUCAAACAAACAAACAAACAAAAUCCAUACACACACAGAAAAACUUCUGGCACCGUUGCCUAUCAGCUUUUUCUCAAACUGUGUCCUCUUCCUAGAAUGGACUUCUCCUAUCUUCCCACCUAAGUAAGUCCUACCUUUGCGUCAAGGCACAGCUAUAGCCAUUGUCAUGGUGGGGUCCCAGAGCAGGGACUCUGGCGUCUCCUCUUGAGCUUGAAAAUCUACUCUGCCGCUUAAUAGCUGUGGAAAAUUUGGGCAACUCGCUUAAUCCUCCCUGAGCCUUAGUCUCCCCAUCUGUAAAUGGGAUAAUAAUAGCAAUCACACAUACCCAGAGGCUUAAGAGUGAGGAUUAAAUCAGAAAGGUCACAUGUAAAAUGUGCUUACACAGUAAGUGCUCUAUUAAAGUGGUAGUUAUUUAGAAUGAUACUCUAGUAAGCUAUCCCAGAGCUCCCCAACUGGGAAUUAACUGUGUCCCACUCUGACAUGUACCUUGGGAACACAGGGAUUCCACCUUUAGGGUUUCUGACUAAAUCAUUUUUCACAGUCUGCCCUGAAUCAGCUAUUAUGUAAUGAAUCUGGCAGUCCCUAGCCAAGCUUUGCACUUAGUAGGUACUUGCUAAGACAAUAAAUGCUUGUUUAAAAUAUUGCCCACCUAGUCAAAUUCCCAAACCCUGUAAAACCCCACUAAAUUCUAAUCUAUUUGUCCUGAGUCCCACACAAUGCCUGGUUCAG
rnacentral:lncRNA from 1 species